rnacentral:rRNA from 1 species
UACGUAGGGUGCGAGCGUUGUCCGGAAUUAUUGGGCGUAAAGAGCUUGUAGGCGGUUUGUCGCGUCUGCUGUGAAAAUCCGGGGCUCAACCCCGGACUUGCAGUGGGUACGGGCAGACUAGAGUGUGGUAGGGGAGACUGGAAUUCCUGGUGUAGCGGUGAAAUGCGCAGAUAUCAGGAGGAACACCGAUGGCGAAGGCAGGUCUCUGGGCCGACUACUGCGCUGAGAAGCGAAAGCAUGGGGAGCGAACAGG